AUUGAACGCUGGCGGCAGGCCUAACACAUGCAAGUCGAGCGGUAGAGAGAAGCUUGCUUCUCUUGAGAGCGGCGGACGGGUGAGUAAUGCCUAGGAAUCUGCCUGAUAGUGGGGGAUAACGUCCGGAAACGGACGCUAAUACCGCAUACGUCCUACGGGAGAAAGUGGGGGCUCUUCGGACCUCACGCUAUCAGAUGAGCCUAGGUCGGAUUAGCUAGUUGGUGGGGUAAAGGCUCACCAAGGCGACGAUCCGUAACUGGCCUGGGAGGAUGAUCAGGCACACUGGAACUGGGACACGGUCCAGACUCCUACGGGAGGCAGCAGUGGGGAAUAUUGGACAAUGGGCGAAAGCCUGAUCCAGCCAUGCCGCGUGUGUGAAGAAGGUCUUCGGAUUGUAAAGCACUUUAAGUUGGGAGGAAGGGUCGUUACCUAAUACGUGGCGAUUUUGACGUUACCGACAGAAUAAGCACCGGCUAACUCUGUGCCAGCCGCCGCGGUAACAC
rnacentral:rRNA from 1 species